AAAGUAGGAGGAACAGUCGCGCCCGCCGAAGGCGGGUGAGGAAAGUCCGAGCUCCACAGAAUCAAGGCGCCCGGUAACACCGGGGCGGAGCGAUCCGACGGAAAGUGCCGCAGAAACAAUACCGCCCGGCAACUGCCGGGUAAGGGUGAAAUCGUGGUGUAAGAGACCACGGCCGGUGGCAGUAAUGCCAUCAGUGGGCAAACCCCGCCUGGAGCAAGGCCAAAUAGAGGAAGAGGAGUUGAUUCGCUCCGCUAUCAUUCCUGGGUGGGCCGCGCAGAACAGUCGGGCAACCGGCUGUCAAGAUAAAUGACUGUCAACUCGCCUUAGGCGAGCACACAGAACUCGGCUUAUCUCCUGCUUUCCAA
rnacentral:RNase_P_RNA from 1 species